AGCGAACGUUAGCGGCGGGCUUAACACAUGCAAGUCGAGCGAGAGAGUGACUUCGGUCAUGAGUAAAGCGGCAGACGGGUGAGGAACACGUAGGUAAUUUUCCGUUUAGUGGGGGACAACGGUCCGAAAGGACCGCUAAUACCGCAUACGUUCCUUGGGGCUUUGGCCCUGGGGAGGAAAGCUGGGCAACUGGCGCUAAAUGAGAAGCCUGCGUCGCAUCAGCUAGUUGGUGGGGUAAUGGCCUACCAAGGCGAAGACGCGUAGCUGGUCUGAGAGGAUGAUCAGCCACACUGGAACUGAGACACGGUCCAGACUCCUACGGGAGGCAGCAGUGGGGAAUAUUGGACAAUGGGCGCAAGCCUGAUCCAGCCACGCCGCGUGAGUGAUGAAGGCCUUCGGGUCGUAAAGCUCUGUGGGGAGAGACGAACCGCUGGGGUAACCCUUCAGCAUGACGGUAUCUCCUUAGCAAGCACCGGCUAACUUCGUGCCAGCAGCCGCGGUAAU
rnacentral:rRNA from 1 species